UACGUAGGGGGCAAGCGUUGUCCGGAAUUAUUGGGCGUAAAGAGCGCGUAGGCGGUCCGGUAAGUCAGCUGUGAAAGUCAAGGGCUCAACCCUUGAAAGCCGGUUGAUACUGUCGGGCUAGAGUCCGGAAGAGGCGAGUGGAAUUCCCGGUGUAGCGGUGAAAUGCGCAGAUAUCGGGAGGAACACCAAUGGCGAAGGCAGCUCGCUGGGACGGUACUGACGCUGAGGCGCGAAAGCGU
rnacentral:rRNA from 1 species